UAGUCAUAUGCUUGUCUCAAAGAUUAAGCCAUGCAUGUCUAAGUAUAAGCUUGUUUAUACGGCGAGACUGCGGAUGGCUCAUUAAAUCAGUUAUAGUUUAUUUGAUGGUCUCUUUUUUCUAUUUUACCUACUUGGAUAACCGUGGUAAUUCUAGAGCUAAUACAUGCGCAAGGUCCCGAGCGCGAGGGGCGAGGUCUCACAAGGAUCUCGUCCCUGCAUGCGCAGAGGGAUGUAUUUAUUAGGUUAAAAACCAGCAGCGUCAGCAAUGGCGUUUCAC
rnacentral:rRNA from 1 species